rnacentral:pre_miRNA from 1 species
GCUCUGCUGUGGUCUAUGGCUUUUCAUUCCUAUGUGAUUGCUGUUCCAAACUCAUGUAGGGCUAAAAGCCAUGGGCUACAGUGAGGGGCAAGCUCC